GGUGAGUAACACGUGAGUAACCUCGCCCUUGACUUUGGGAUAACUUCAGGAAACUGGGGCUAAUACCGGAUAGGAGCUCCUGCUGCAUGGUGGGGGUUGGAAAGUUUCGGCGGUUGGGGAUGGACUCGCGGCUUAUCAGCUUGUUGGUGGGGUAGUGGCUUACAAGGCUUUGACGGGUAGCCGGCCUGAGAGGGUGACCGGCCACAUUGGGACUGAGAUACGGCCCAG
rnacentral:rRNA from 1 species